rnacentral:pre_miRNA from 1 species
GUAUAAUGAUGAUGAUGAUGAUGAUGAUGAUGAUGAUGAUGCCUGGACAGUUCAUUGAAAAGAUCCAAGGAAAUCAUCAUCACCAUCACCAUCAUCAUCAUCAUCAUCG